CCGUCGUCCUCCGGGCGUCAACCCAAGCAGUUAUGGCCGCCUGCGUCACCAUGCCGCUACGCGGCCCGAGCAGCGGCCUCACUCCUACAGGAUCCGCCAGGGAUCUCCCUCUGCCGCCACACCUCGUCGGUCAGCCAACCAGAGGAGUAAUGGCCUCCCCCCCCCCCGCCGGGCCCCGUCCUCGAGCCCCGAGCACCAGC
rnacentral:lncRNA from 1 species